UCUGCUUUCGAAAUUGUUUUGUUUCCGUUCAAGAAUAUUUACUGUAUUUAUUUUUAAAUUUGUUUCAUAGGAACUGAACAAAUUGUACGGACUGCGUUCUAUUUUGGUGAUUUUUUUUUUUUUUGCAAUUUUCAAAGUGUGAAAUUCUUGUCGCAGGUGUCUAGUCUUGUUUUUUCUUUUCUUUUGUUCUUUGACUUAUUUUAAAUGUUGGCACUCGGCAACAAACAAAAGGUAAAGCACAAUAAACAUGAACAAAUGAUAAGCGUACGUUAGCAGCAAUGCACGUAAAAGUGGAAAAGAGAGAAGAAGAGGUACUAUAAAAGGUAACAACUGCAUGCACAUUGAUAGCAGAUAUCUUUAUACAUAUACAUGCAUAUAUACACACACAUCCACACUAAACAUUUAUUGUGCCUCACUUGAGUGAACUGAAGGAAAAUUUUCAAGUGGAAUUUUCAUGUUCAAAACUCAUAGACAACACAUAAAAACGUAUAUAUAUGUAUGUAUGUAUAUAUGAUGUCUGUAUAUACACAUAAGAUAUAAAAACAAAGCUAAUUCGAGUUUGUCUUGCCCGCCCAUCCCCAAAACAAAGAUCGUUAUAUGGAAAAAGAGAAAAUUCAUAACAAUGCAAAUAUGCGAAAUAGACUAAAAUUGGAUGGAGGCGGUGCCAAAAAAAAAAAAAAAAAAAAAAAAAAAAAAAAAAAAAAAUGAUUACACAGCGCAGACAGGCGAGCACAAGUGUUGUGACGCUGUGUGUGUGUGUGUUUGUGUUGCUGACGGGUACAGCAGGGGCGCCAGAACGAAACAGCGAUGGAAAACAUGACAAGCGAAAAAAAUGUUGUAAUAAAACUAGAAACAAGCGCCAAUUUCAUUGGUCUGCAAGGGUAUGGCUGAAGGGGGGCAUAGAAGAGACACAGCAAGUUUGUGUGUGUGUGCGGUGGCGGCGUUGCAGGCCACUGGGCAAGAAGUCAGUCACAAUAGCGGUGGCUAUUUAUAGAACAAAACGGGCUGACCGGACACAAAGGGGGAACCGAAACAAAACUAAACUUUAAUGCGCACUCGUAUUCGGAGAGCAGCAGGCAGCUUUAACUGCGAGUUUAAAGUGUUCAAAGCUCCGCUCUCGUUCACACAUUUAUUUUGCACGAACUUUUCAAGUAAAACGAAAAUUUGAUACACUUUCACCCUUUAAAGGACUCACAAACUCAACUCAACUCUUUGUGCUUAACAAACAAACGCAGCGUUGCUGCAAAACAUCAACCGAAAUAAUGCUGUUGAAAUAUGUCAUUCGCUUGCUAUAGGAGCUGGCCUCUGGCGCUCUCUCUUUCUCUCUCGUUUGUUUGCUCACUCGAACGAAAUUGUGGCGGCGGCGG